GGCGAAUGCCAGCUGGAACAUGUUAAAGGACACAACAAUCUCAUCCAAGCAGUGUGCAAGUUUUACGUUCAAGGAUUCUGCUUAAAGGGGGAGACCUGCCCAUACAUGCAUAAUAUCCUUUGGUUGAACCGCAAUGAAAUCGCAAUUUUUUCAUAAACUCAUUGCAGUGAUAAGUAUUGUACUCUUUGCCAGAAACAAAUAUCUAAUAUUUCCUUUACUCAGUUGCACAGUCCUUUCCUUGCAAGUUCUUUCACCAACACGGAAAAUGCUCUAAAGGAGAAGAUUGCCGGUUUUCCCACGAGCCACUUAAUGACGCCUCAAAAAAGCUGCUACAUGACGCUUUAAAACGUGAUGAUGAACUCAAUGCACUUGCAAAGAAAGCUGAGCAGGAGUCGUCCGGACAGCCAGAGAACAAAGAUGAGUCAGAAAUGUCGGAACCAAUCAGGACUUCUAAUGAACUUGUGCACCCACUCAGGCCUAACUUUUACAACAGCGGAGAAACCAAUGCUGAGAAGGAAAGCGUGUUCUGUGAGACUCGAGAGCUGGCUGAUGACCACGAGGAAGCUUCCCCGGCACAUGCAGCUGAUGUUGCCCAACCUCACAUCCUGCCGUCAAGUGACCUUCAACACGAGGAGCCAGUUUGUUAUUCAGUUGCAGCAGUCCUUGGACCGCAACUUUUCAAACCGUUCCCUAGUUUCUUUACAUCUCAAAGAAGUGAAGAAUCUGGCAGUUCAGUCCUUUCAAACCAAAUCCAAGUUCCAUACUCAGUGGAUGCUGUUCUCAGGUCUAAUUCAGUGGAAAACUCCACCUUUAGACACACACCUACCCUUUAUGCUGCAAAAACUGUAUCCUAUACCCCAAAAGCUGACUCUGCAGAGAUCCCUGUUCCUAUACCAAGCUCAGAAACCCAAGAGGAGACUGUCUUGCAUUCAAUAAAUCCCAGAAAGGACGUUAAUAAUUCCCAGGGGAAGGAAUUCACGGGCCUGUCAUCGCUCAAUGUAGACACUAGUCUGCUUUCAAAGAACAUCCCAAGUCUACCUCUGGCCUCCACACACAACAAGACACAAGGUAGCAAUGUGCCACACUCCAUGAAAGCUGCCCGAAGAGUGGCUGAUGAAGUCAAGUUGGAGUUGCUGCAUUCUACUGUGAACGUAGCAGAUGAGUCUACUACAGCCUGCAAAAGUGAAGGUGCUCCUCCUUUUGGAUGCACAAAUAGCAAAAGCUAUUUUUUUAAGCCAUUAACUCGGACAUCUACUUCCAAACAUCCUACAGAGUUGAGGCCUGUUGUGACAUUUGACCCACAAGCCCCAAGAAAGCAUUUUUCCCCUUCGGGUUUCCCAGACUUUAAAUGUAGAGCUGCUGCUCCUGUGGAACUUGUCACCAGCUCCGUUAAGACAAGUCAUUCUGCAAACACUGGCAGUCAUCAUUUUGUAGAAAAACAACCCACUGAGAUCCGCCUGUACUCUAAAAAGCCACAAGCCGUCCUCAGCCAUGACGCACAACGACCUUGUCCAUCUGAGAUCAGAGCAGAGGGCCGUAGUGAGACGGCACAUCGCGGUGCUCUUGCAGUUGAAUGUAAAGAGACCCCCGAAAAAACGAUUCAUAGCCUUUUCGCAAGCCCCCUUUUUGACAAUCUGCAGCCUAUAGAAGAUUCUGAACCAAGUUCCUCUUGUCCUCAAGACUUUAUUCAGUCUUCCUGUCCUGCUCUACAGCCUGCAGGUUCCAGAAGUAAAGGUGUUAAAGCUCCUGCCAGCUCCUUCCUCAGGCUUUUUGCUGCUCCUCUCAGUGAUGCCCCUCAGCCAGAUCUUUCAAGGACUUCCUCCUCCUCUCAACAGUCAAACCAGUUAGUUGAUAAUACAUCUCAUUUCUCAGACUCCAAACCAAGGGCCUCUAAUUUAAAGACAACUCUCCAACACCAGAUUAGAUCUGUCAAAGAAAUCUCUGGUGCAACAAGAUCUUCCUGUUUGUCUUCUGAUGCUAAAACAAAAAGUGCAGACUGUUCAACGGAGAACACGAAUGGCCCUUUGAAGCGGCAGCUUAAUCCUGUCUGUAUCCUUGAAUCUCUCGGGGAGAUAUCUACCAGUCCAACCAGAACCCAUUCUCCGCAGCAGCCGCGUGACGCUGCAUCCCGCAAAGGUAUGGGAAUAAUCAACGCAUACCAAAUGUACCGGGAAAUCCUGACUUAUGUUGUUAAUGCCUCACUUCGCAGACACUGCCGGCUCAGUUCUGAAGAGUCUCUUCCUGACUCUGAACCCCUACCAAUAGUAUCAAGAGCUACAGGACAGUAUUCGGAUGAGGGCCGCUUCAGGUAA
ensembl:lncRNA